GGUUAACGCUGGCGGCGCGCAUAACACAUGCAAGUCGAGCGAGGGCUCAUUUCCCGCAAGGGAGAUGGGUUCCUAGCGGCGAACGGGUGAGUAACACGUGGGCAACCUUUCCUAUCGCGGGGGAUAACAGCGGGAAACCGCUGCUAAUACCGCAUGUCGUCACCGGUCGCAUGGCUGGUGAAGAAAGCAGCAAUGCACGAUGGGGUGGGCCCGCGGCCUAUCAGCUAGUCGGUGGGGUAACGGCCUACCGAGGCGAUGACGGGUAGCUGGUCUGAGAGGACGACCAGCCACACGGGGACUGAGACACGGCCCCGACUCCUACGGGAGGCAGCAGUGAGGAAUCUUCCGCAAUGGGCGAAAGCCUGACGGAGCGACGCCGCGUGUGGGAUGAAGUCCUUCGGGAUGUAAACCACUGUUGGAGGGGAAGACAACUGACGGUACCCUCCGAGAAAGCCCCGGCUAACUACGUGCCAGCAGCCGCGGUAAUACGUAGGGGGCAAGCGUUAUCCAGAUUUACUGGGCGUAAAGCGCGUGUAGGC
rnacentral:rRNA from 1 species